UUUAGAUUCUUGGCAAUUUGGAGCAUUUGAAUUUAUGGCUUCAUAUGAUGUUUCUGUCACCAAGGACUGGCUUUGUUUAUCUUAUUUAGGAUACAAACUUGGAUAUGCAUGUACUAAUUGUGCUUUAUUCAGUAAUAUUGAUACAUUUUAAGUUGUAAAAAUUGCUUCAAUACAUUGUUUUGCCCACAUGUUCGUAAAUAAAUUCUUUAUCAAUUUGAAAUCCGCCAUAAAUCACUUCAACUUUUGUUUCAGGGUUGCUACAGUUGUGCUGCGA
rnacentral:misc_RNA from 1 species